rnacentral:tRNA from 1 species
GCUGGCGUAGCUCAACGGUAGAGCACCUGCCUUGUAAGCAGGGGGUUACGGGUUCAAAUCCCGUCGCCAGCU